GGUUAAGUUAGAAAGGGCGCACGGUGGAUGCCUUGGCACUAGGAGCCGAAGAAGGACGGGACUAACACCGAUAUGCUUUGGGGAGCUGUACGUAAGCGUUGAUCCAGAGAUUUCCGAAUGGGGGAACCCACUAUCUUUAGUCGGAUAGUAUCCUUACGUGAAUACAUAGCGUGAGGAAGGCAGACCCAGGGAACUGAAACAUCUAAGUACCUGGAGGAAGAGAAAGAAAAAUCGAUUUCCUGAGUAGCGGCGAGCGAAACGGAAAGAGCCCAAACCAAGAAGCUUGCUUCUUGGGGUUGUAGGACACUCUAUACGGAGUUACAAAAGAAAGUUAUAAAUGAAGCGGUCUGGAAAGGCCCGCCAAAGACGGUAACAGCCCGGUAGUUGAAAUGGCUUUCCCUCCAGAGUGGAUCCUGAGUACGGCGGAACACGUGAAAUUCCGUCGGAAUCCGGGAGGACCAUCUCCCAAGGCUAAAUACUCCCUAGUGACCGAUAGUGAACCAGUACCGUGAGGGAAAGGUGAAAAGCACCCCGGAAGGGGAGUGAAACAGUUCCUGAAACCGUGUGCCUACAAGUAGUUAGAGCCCGUUAAUGGGUGAUAGCGUGCCUUUUGUAGAAUGAACCGGCGAGUUACGAUUUGUUGCAAGGUUAAGCGGAAAAAGCGGAGCCGUAGCGAAAGCGAGUCUGAAUAGGGCGCAUAAGUAACAGGUCGUAGACCCGAAACCAGGUGAUCUACCCAUGUCCAGGAUGAAGGUAAGGUAAUACUUACUGGAGGUCCGAACCCACGCACGUUGAAAAGUGCGGGGAUGAGGUGUGGGUAGCGGAGAAAUUCCAAUCGAACUUGGAGAUAGCUGGUUCUCUCCGAAAUAGCUUUAGGGCUAGCCUCGAGGUAAAGAGUCA
rnacentral:rRNA from 1 species